rnacentral:rRNA from 1 species
GACGAACGCUGGCGGCGUGCUUAACACAUGCAAGUCGAACGGUGAAGCUCCAGCUUGCUGGAGUGGAUCAGUGGCGAACGGGUGAGUAACACGUGAGCAACCUGCCCCUGACUCUGGAAUAAGCGCUGGAAACGGCGUCUAAUACUGGAUACGAGAAGGGUCCGCAUGGGCACUUUCUGGAAAGUUUUUCGGUUGGGGAUGGGCUCGCGGCCUAUCAGCUUGUUAGUGAGGUAAUGGCUCACCAAGGCGACGACGGGUAGCCGGCCUGAGAGGGCGACCGGCCACACUGGGACUGAGACACGGCCCAGACUCCUACGGGAGGCAGCAGUGGGGAAUAUUGCACAAUGGGCGAAAGCCUGAUGCAGCGACGCCGCGUGAGGGAUGACGGCCUUCGGGUUGUAAACCUCUUUCAGCAGGGAAGAAGCGAAAGUGACGGUACCUGCAGAAGAAGCACCGGCUAACUACGUG